rnacentral:rRNA from 1 species
CACGUAGGGUGCGAGCGUUGUCCGGAAUUAUUGGGCGUAAAGAGCUCGUAGGCGGUGUGUCGCGUCGGCCGUGAAAACCUGCAGCUUAACUGUGGGCUUGCGGUCGAUACGGGCAUCACUGGAGUUCGGCAGGGGAGACUGGAAUUCCUGGUGAUAGCGGUGAAAUGCGCAGAUAUCAGGAGGAACACCGGUGGCGAAGGCGGGUCUCU